CGGAUGGGUGAGUAACACGUGGAUAACCUACCUAUAAGACUGGGAUAACUUCGGGAAACCGGAGCUAAUACCGGAUAAUAUAUUGAACCGCAUGGUUCAAUAGUGAAAGACGGUUUUGCUGUCACUUAUGGAUGGAUCCGCGCCGCAUUAGCUAGUUGGUAAGGUAACGGCUUACCAAGGCAACGAUGCGUAGCCGACCUGAGAGGGUGAUCGGCCACACUGGAACUGAGACACGGUCCAGACUCCUACGGGAGGCAGCAGCC
rnacentral:rRNA from 1 species